CAGGUCUUGACAUCCCACUGACUGGCUUAGAGAUAGGCUUUUCCCUUCGGGGACAGUGGUGACAGGUGGUGCAUGGUUGUCGUCAGCUCGUGUCGUGGGAUGUUGGGUUAAGUCCCGCAACGAGCGCAACCCUUGAUCUUAGUUGCCAGCAUUCAGUUGGGCACUCUAAGGUGACUGCCGGUGAUAAACCGGAGGAAGGUGGGGAUGACGUCAAAUCAUCAUGCCCCUUAUGACCUGGGCUACACACGUGCUACAAUGGACGAUACAAAGGGCUGCAAACCCGCGAGGGGGAGCCAAUCCCAUAAAAUCGUUCUCAGUUCGGAUUGUAGGCUGCAACUCGCCUACAUGAAGCCGGAAUCGCUAGUAAUCGUGGAUCAGCAUGCCACGGUGAAUACGUUCCC
rnacentral:rRNA from 1 species